AAUUCUGAAGUCAGGGCUAACGUUUUUGGAAAUCGUUACAAUGGUCGAUUAAGCGGCAAUUUGGGAAUCACUCAAAUCCGUGUGUCGGGCGAGGUACGCGUCAACGUGGGAAUCAUCUCCGGUGUCAGUAUUCGCAGUGUUGAUGCGAAAUUCAGAAUUCAAAACAUUAAGUCUGCGUUAGCUGUUCUUUUCCAAGGUGAAGAUUACUCUGACACCGCGAACGCGCUACUUAAUGAGACGGUCCCAC
rnacentral:lncRNA from 1 species